UGUUAAUUAUUUUGUUUUGGUGUUUCUUCUAUUCCCUCUAAUUUCUCAGUUUGUUUUAGUUAAUGAUUAUUCUAGGUUCUUAUGUUUCUUUUGAUUUAUUUUCUUUGUCCAUAGUUUUGCCUUUAUUGUCUAGCUUCCCUCAUGUUUUCCCCUAUGGAUUUAUGUUAUGGUAGCUCUCGUGUUUCGUUUUGUUUCUAGCCUUAUCAUCUUAGCAACUAUUCACUUUCCCUCAGUUCUCUACAGCCUGGUCCACACCUGAAUUUCAUCUCUCCUGAUUUCCUAUCUCUCAUUCUCAUUGGUCCAUACUCCACUUCCCUCUGUUCAUAAGCUCUCUGUUCUUGUUUGUUCCUCGCUGGUUCCUUCUGUUCGAAUCCCCGUUCAUAUCUCCGUUCACCUACCUUCAUCUAUGUACUCUGCCUACUAUGUUCCUGCAGUAUUAACUUUGUAAGUUUUUGGAUUUCUUGUAUCUGCAGUGAUUUUGCUACGUUUGGAAAAACUUUUUGAACUUAUCUUUGAAUAAAAGAAAAAGUCUCCUUUUAAACAUGCAGCUGCCAAGCUGCCUGUUCUUUGGUCACUCUAAACCUCAGAAUGCGACAAAAAGAGGUGGAUGCAGACUUCCUUCUACAGGCUCUGUCUCCUCAGUUCACUGAAAAGGAUCAAUAAGACACCGGAAGGAAGUAAACAUUAUCAACUUUUUGCAGGACUUCUUGCAAAACCUGGAAGGCCAAGAAAGACAAUCAAGAUGGGAGCCCAUCUAAUGGUUGUGGAGCAAAGCAGUUGUCAGUGCAAAGUUUCUUCCAGUGGGUUUCAGGCCAGGCACAUGUGCCACUAACAGACGCCAAACGAGAUUCAUAUCGGAUAACUGUGAAUUUUGAUCACGACCGUACCUCCCGGUAUGGGUCACAAACUUUGUGCUUUCCCAUUGUCAAUGCAUGGGCUUUGGCAAUCACCUUUCCUACACAUCACUUGACAACAUAUGAUGAUUUUGAAAAUAUUCUUACACAGGCAGUCUGUGGUGGAUUUGAUUUUAGCAGACACUAAGUACUAACAGGACCAAAACUGGGGGCUGUUCCUAGUUUUUGAUUAUUUUCAAUAGUUUUAAAUCUCACUUUAGUUUUAAAUAGACAGUUUGUCUUGUGAAAUUUGUAAUGUUUUGGGGCUAGGCUGCCAAAUUUGUAUAUGAAACAAUAAAAAUCUAGUUUAUUGCUAUUUGUAAAACAUUUACAUAUAUGUGUGUUUUAUAAAAAAAAUAAUAACAAUAAUAAAACACUGGAAAUCA